rnacentral:piRNA from 1 species
AAGUGAGGUAGCUGGGCAUAUGG